GAUGAACGCUGGCGGCGUGCCUAAUACAUGCAAGUCGAGCGAAUGGAUUAAGAGCUUGCUCUUAUGAAGUUAGCGGCGGACGGGUGAGUAACACGUGGGUAACCUGCCCAUAAGACUGGGAUAACUCCGGGAAACCGGGGCUAAUACCGGAUAACAUUUUGAACCGCAUGGUUCGAAAUUGAAAGGCGGCUUCGGCUGUCACUUAUGGAUGGACCCGCGUCGCAUUAGCUAGUUGGUGAGGUAACGGCUCACCAAGGCAACGAUGCGUAGCCGACAGGAGAGGGUGAUCGGCCACACUGGGACUGAGACACGGCCCAGACUCCUACGGGAGGCAGCAGUAGGGAAUCUUCCGCAAGGGACGAAAGUCUGACGGAGCAACGCCGCGUGAGUGAUGAAGGCUUUCGGGUCGUAAAACUCUGUUGUUAGGGAAGAACAAGUGCUAGUUGAAUAAGCUGGCACUUUGACGGUACCUAACCAGAAAGCCACGGCUAACUACGUGCCAGCCGCCGCCGUAA
rnacentral:rRNA from 1 species